GGGACGUGUGGUGGGAGACGUCAUGAUACUGUCGGGAGGAGCUGUGUGUGAGAUUACGGUGUUGAAGGGGAAGGACUGGAGGCAGGUGCAGUGGGUGUGUGACCAACAAUGGUCAGGGAAGGGACAGCCGGGGAGUAACUGGGGAAAGCAGGGACCAGCAGAAGUCAUGUGUUUAAAACAAGACACCAGGCCCAAAUGGAGCUGCUUAGGCUAAGCCCCAUGUCAACAAGCUGAGACUUAAUUAGACUUUUGGCCCUCCCAGGAAUGGAAUCUUAAACCAGUCAAUGGGGAAUUGCCUGAUGAGCAGCAGGUAGGUCAUCUUCCUGAUAGAGCCCUGCCAUCCCCUAAAGGAAGGUAACCUUGCAGUAACUAACCAUCUUUUUUGUCUAGUGUAACUUCCUUCUUCUUGCUCCCUUCUGCCUAUAAAAGUCUUUCAUUUUACAUCCCCUCAGAG